AUUGAACGCUGGCGGCAGGCCUAACACAUGCAAGUCGAACGAGUGGCGGACGGGUGAGUAAUGUCUGGGAAUCUGCCUGAUGGAGGGGGAUAACCCCUGGAAACGGUAGCUAAUACCGCAUACUAUCAGAUGUGCCCAUAUGGUAUUAGCUUGUUGGUGGGGUAACGGCUCACCAAGGCGACGAUCCCUAUCUGGUCUGAGAGGAUGACCAGCCACACUGGAACUGAGACCCGGUCCAGACUCCUACGGGAGGCAGCAGUGGGGAAUAUUGCACAAUGGGCGCAAGCCUGAUGCAGCCAUGCCGCGUGUAUGAAGAAGGCCUUAGGGUUGUAAAGUACUUUCAGCGGGGAGGCGUUACCCGCAGAAGAAGCACCGGCUAACUCCGUGCCAGCAGCCGCGGUAAUAC
rnacentral:rRNA from 1 species